rnacentral:rRNA from 1 species
UACGAAGGGGGCUAGCGUUGUUCGGAAUUACUGGGCGUAAAGCGCGCGCAGGCGGCUAUCCAAGUCAGUGGUGAAAGCCCGGAGCUCAACUCCGGAACUGCCAUUGAAACUGUUUAGCUUGAGGACGAGAGAGGUGAGUGGAAUUCCCAGUGUAGAGGUGAAAUUCGUAGAUAUUGGGAAGAACACCGGUGGCGAAGGCGGCCCACUGGUCCGGUACUGACGCUGAGGUGCGAAAGCCAGGGGAGCAAACGGG